rnacentral:rRNA from 1 species
GACGGGUGAGUAACACGUGGGUAACCUACCUAUAAGACUGGGAUAACUUCGGGAAACCGGAGCUAAUACCGGAUAACAUUUGGAACCGCAUGGUUCUAAAGUGAAAGAUGGUUUUGCUAUCACUUAUAGAUGGACCCGCGCCGUAUUAGCUAGUUGGUAAGGUAACGGCUUACCAAGGCGACGAUACGUAGCCGACCUGAGAGGGUGAUCGGCCACACUGGAACUGAGACACGGUCCAGACUCCUACGGGAGGCAGCAGUAGGGAAUCUUCCGCAAUGGGCGAAAGCCUGACGGAGCAACGCCGCGUGAGUGAUGAAGGGUUUCGGCUCGUAAAACUCUGUUAUUAGGGAAGAACAAAUGUGUAAGUAACUGUGCACGUCUUGACGGUACCUAAUCAGAAAGCCACGGCUAACUACGUGCCAGCAGCCGCGGUAAUACGUAGGUGGCAAGCGUUAUCCGGAAUUAUUGGGCGUAAAGCGCGCGUAGGCGGUUUCUUAAGUCUGAUGUGAAAGCCCACGGCUCAACCGUGGAGGGUCAUUGGAAACUGGGAAACUUGAGUGCAGAAGAGGAAAGUGGAAUUCCAUGUGUAGCGGUGAAAUGCGCAGAGAUAUGGAGGAACACCAGUGGCGAAGGCGACUUUCUGGUCUGUAACUGACGCUGAUGUGCGAAAGCGUGGGGAUCAAACAGGAUUAGAUACCCUGGUAGU